AUUCCUACGGGAGGCAGCAGUGGGGAAUAUUGCACAAUGGGCGAAAGCCUGAUGCAGCGACGCCGCGUGAGGGAUGACGGCCUUCGGGUUGUAAACCUCUUUCAGUAGGGAAGAAGCGAGAGUGACGGUGCCUGCAGAAGAAGCGCCGGCUAACUACGUGCCAGCAGCCGCGGUAAUAAU
rnacentral:rRNA from 1 species